CAAAGAUUAAGCCAUGCAUGUCUCAGUACAAGCCAAAUUAAGGUGAAACCGCGAAAGGCUCAUUAAAUCAGUUAUGGUUCCUUAGAUCGUACCCACAUUUACUUGGAUAACUGUGGUAAUUCUAGAGCUAAUACAUGCAAACAGAGCUCCGACCGGAGACGGAAGGAGCGCUUUUAUUAGAUCAAAACCAAUCGGUGGCGGGUCUCCCGUCACCGUACACCUUGGUGACUCUGAAUAACUUAUUGCUGAUCGCACGGUCUCGCACCGGCGACGCAUCUUUCAAAUGUCUGCCUUAUCAACUGUCGAUGGUAGGUUCUGCGCCUACCAUGGUUGUAACGGGUAACGGGGAAUCAGGGUUCGAUUCCGGAGAGGGAGCCUGAGAAACGGCUACCACAUCCAAGGAAGGCAGCAGGCGCGCAAAUUACCCACUCCCGGCACGGGGAGGUAGUGACGAAAAAUAACGAUACGGGACUCAUCCGAGGCCCCGUAAUCGGAAUGAGUACACUCUAAACCCUUUAACGAGGAUCAAUUGGAGGGCAAGUCUGGUGCCAGCAGCCGCGGUAAUUCCAGCUCCAAUAGCGUAUAUUAAAGUUGUUGCGGUUAAAAAGCUCGUAGUCGAAUUUGUGUCCCGCGCCGCCGGUUCAUCGCUCGCGGUGUCAACUGGCGUGUCCGCGGGACGUCCUGCCGGUGGGCUUAGCCCCUCGCGGGCGGCCCAAUCUCAAUCCCACCGCGGUGCUCUUCAUUGAGUGUCGAGGUGGGCCGGCACGUUUACUUUGAACAAAUUAGAGUGCUUAAAGCAGGCUAAAACAUCGCCUGAAUACUGUGUGCAUGGAAUAAUGGAAUAGGACCUCGGUUCUAUUUUGUUGGUUUUCGGAACCCCGAGGUAAUGAUUAAUAGGAACGGAUGGGGGCAUUCGUAUUGCGACGUUAGAG
rnacentral:rRNA from 1 species